rnacentral:rRNA from 1 species
UGGGAAUAUUGCACAAUGGGGGGAAACCCUGAUGCAGCGACGCCGCGUGAACGAAGAAGUAUUUCGGUAUGUAAAGUUCUAUCAGCAGGGAAGAUAAUGACGGUACCUGACUAAGAAGCACCGGCUAAAUACGUGCCAGCAGCCGCGGUAAUACGUAUGGUGCAAGCGUUAUCCGGAUUUACUGGGUGUAAAGGGAGCGCAGGCGGUGCGGCAAGUCUGAUGUGAAAGCCCCGGGCUCAACCUGGGUACUGCUUUGGAAACUGUAUUGCUAGAGUGCUGGAGAGGUAAGCGGAAUUCCUAGUGUA